rnacentral:lncRNA from 1 species
UUAGGCGGCCGGGUUUCGCCACCAUUAACCCCCGCUGCAGAAGUCGUGGAUGGAGCCCGGCUCCCGUAGGAGUCCGGAUGAAGUCUUCCUUGUAGGCGGAACCCGGUUCCUGUAGGAGUCCGGGUGAAAUCUUCCUUGUAGGUGGAACCCGGCUCCCGUAGGAGUCCGGGUGAAGUCUUCCUUGUAGGUGAAACCUGGCUCCCGUAGGAGUCCGGGUGAAGUCUUCCUUGUAGGUGGAACCCGGCUCCCGUA